GACGAACGCUGGCGGCGUGCUUAACACAUGCAAGUCGAACGAAGUGGCGAACGGGUGAGUAACGCGUAAUCAACCUGCCCUUCAGCGGGGGACAAAAGUUGGCAACGACUGCUAAUACCGCAUACUGAAGGAGGGGCUGGCGUCUGAUUCGCUAGUUGGCGGGGUAACGGCCAACCAAGGCGAUGAUCAGUAGCCGGUCUGAUGGGAUGAACGGCCACAUUGGGACUGAGACACGGCCCAGACUCCUACGGGAGGCAGCAGUGGGGAAGCUUCCGCAAUGGACGAAAGUCUGACGGAGCAACGCCGCGUGAGUGAUGACGGCCUUCGGGUUGUAAAGCUCUGUUAAUCGGGACGCGGUACCGGAAUAGAAAGCCACGGCUAACUACGUGCCAGCAGCCGCGGUAAUUC
rnacentral:rRNA from 1 species